rnacentral:rRNA from 1 species
GACGUAGGGCGCGAGCGUUGUCCGGAUUUAUUGGGCGUAAAGAGCUCGUAGGCGGCUUGUCGCGUCGACUGUGAAAUCCCGCGGCUCAACUGCGGGUCUGCAGUCGAUACGGGCAGGCUAGAGUUCGGUAGGGGAGACUGGAAUUCUUGGUGUAGCGGUGAAAUGCGUAGAUAUCAAGAGGAACACCUGAGGUGAAGACGGGUUGCUGGGCUGAUACUGACGCUGAGGCGCGAAAGCUAGGGUAGCAAACGGG